UCUGCAUUGAUUGAAUAAUACAAUACACACUUUAAAUAAUAAGCCAAACCCCCUAAAUAAUAAGCUAAACCCUCUCUAUGUUUGAUUUAUUUGUCACUAUGUCAAGUGGAACCCCCUUUCGACCCCUGCUGAUUUUAUCACUUUAUUUAAGGCAUAGAUUUUCCGCUAAAAUAGAAUAAAUCAACCCUCCUAGAAAAAGAAACACAAAAAUCACCAAUCAAUGAAAAAUUAAACAAUACAAGUGUCCAUCCGAUAUUUUCGUCUGCUUUUUUCUUCUUUCUUCUUGCUUCAGGGUUCUG